UUGAACGCUGGCGGCAGGCCUAACACAUGCACGUCGAGCGGUAGAGAGAAGCUUGCUUCUCUUGAGAGCGGCGGACGGGUGAGUAAUGCCUAGGAAUCUGCCUGGUAGUGGGGGAUAACGUUCGGAAACGGACGCUAAUACCGCAUACGUCCUACGGGAGAAAGCAGGGGACCUUCGGGCCUUGCGCUAUCAGAUGAGCCUAGGUCGGAUUAGCUAGUUGGUGGGGUAAUGGCUCACCAAGGCGACGAUCCGUAACUGGUCUGAGAGGAUGAUCAGGCACACUGGAACUGAGACACGGUCCAGACUCCUACGGGAGGCAGCAGUGGGGAAUAUUGGACAAUGGGCGAAAGCCUGAUCCAGCCAUGCCGCGUGUGUGAAGAAGGUCUUCGGAUUGUAAAGCACUUUAAGUUGGGAGGAAGGGUUGUAGAUUAAUACUCUGCAAUUUUGACGUUACCGACAGAAUAAGCACCGGCUAACUCUGU
rnacentral:rRNA from 1 species